UGUCUACUCUUCCCUCUGGAAGUCUGACCUGCCUUUUCAUUAAAAACAAAUAAAUCUUUUUUAGUGCCCCAAGUCAUGUACAUGAUAUUUUGAAGUGUGGUUUUGUGAUCAUGACAAAAAUAUUAAUAAGAGAUAUUCCCUAACAGUGGUCAUUUCUUUGCCAGGCUGUAUGUCAAAAUGUAGUGUGCAUUAUUUGUUUAUUUGCUGAUGUAAGGUGUUUUACAGCAGACUCCAUAUUGUGAAUGAAGAAUAAUGUUUAAAAUAUGUAGGUGUCUUACAAAAUCGUAAUAGUAAAUGACAAAGCCAGUAUUCAAAGCAUAGAUCUGAGGGACUAAAACAGUUAGUGUGGAAAGUGACUUAUAAAAUCGAUCUGUAGAAAUACAUGCAAAUAAUUUACAGUGGAAAAAAUCUCUUCUACCAUCUCACCAAUUCUGAACGGAGGGUGUUUUAUUGUUAUCUUUACAGGAGCUCAGCAUUUUUGUGCAAUUCUUCCUGGGACUAGAACUUCAUCAAUCACUUUAAACCUUGAGGCAUCAAAAGUAGCUCAGUGCUACCAGCCACCUCACCGGGCCCCACGUAGGUGUGAAUUUGUGACAUCCUGUCAGGAUGAGUAACGAUCCCAGGCUCAUGCAACCCCGAGGAGUAGAAUCCAGCCCACUGCUUUCCAGCACGCAGACUAAACUAACACACGUCAGCCUGCUGGGUGACAUCUGUGAGGACCGGCCACAGCCGGGUGUUCUGAGCUUGGAAAAUGUGGAUGCCACAUGGGAAACGGCUGAGCAAGAGGUGUUAACCGUCCUUAUAUUUGCGAAUGAAAUAAAAAUCAUCAGAAGCUAAGUAACUGAGACCAUCUAGCUAACAAAGAGCCAAAGAUGCUGGUCGUCAUCAGAGUCUAUGUUCCAAGUAUUUUCUUGCCUG